CCCUGCAGCCUCACUGCUCAAUCCUCUGCCAUUUAGGAGUUAAAUCCCUUUGUUUAUGAACCCUAGUCACACCUCCCUGCAUGUGACUUGCACAGCCUUCCAUAAACACUUCCUGUAAAGAGAGCCCUAUUUAGGCUUUCUUUAUUGCAAGUUCUGUUUAAUUAAGAUUUUCUUAUCCCCUGCUAUGUUAAUAGCUUGCUAGACCCUGCAAGAACCUCCUGUAUGUGAUUAAAGUUCAAUUUAGAGAUUGAGAUACAAUUAUUUAAGGUAAAUUACAUCUGUUUGAAAGUGAAACCAGUUUUUUUUUCAUGCAGGCUCUGUCAAUCAUAGCCAGGGGAGGUGUGGCUAGGGCUGCAUAAACAGAAACAAAGUGAUUUAACUCCUAAAUGACAGUGAAUUGAGCAGCGAAAUUGCAGGGGAAUGAUCUAUACACUAAAACUGCUUUAUUUAGCUAAAGUAAUUUAGGUGACUAUAGUGUUC